UACGGGGGGAGCAAGCGUUGUUCGGAUUUACUGGGCGUAAAGGGCGCGUAGGCGGCCACCGCAAGUCGACUGUGAAAUCUCCGGGCUUAACUCGGAACGGUCAGAUGAUACUGCUUUGCUAGAGUGCGGAAGGGGCAAUCGGAAUUCUUGGUGUAGCGGUGAAAUGCGUAGAUAUCAAGAGGAACACCUGAGGUGAAGACGGGUUGCUGGGCCGACACUGACGCUGAUGCGCGAAAGCCAGGGGAGCAAACGGG
rnacentral:rRNA from 1 species